UUUCACAGCUAGAGGGUGUUAGUUCAUGUGUUCAUAUAAAUAACAUUGUGCACAUGGAAUUAUUUAAGAGUCAGCACUAACUGCCUGCAAUGCAAGUCUGUCAAAAGAUCUGAGAUAAGGAGACAGUCAGCAGAAGCUUAGAUACAAUAUGACAAACUUAGAAGCAGGAAAACUGCUGACCAGGCUGUUUGAGCCAGGCAACUAAUCCUGCUACAAAUGAAACUCCAUUUAAAGCUGGCAGAUGCUGCAAGACGACUGCAACAUCUUGAAAAGCAAUAUGUUAUGGGAUGCUCGGAUAAGAGAGACUAAACUUAAGUGUGUUCAAUAUGUAGCCUGGUCUCAAAUAGGAAAAUAAAAUGUCACAUCCUAUUACGGUAAA